rnacentral:lncRNA from 1 species
GGGACGCUGGAGAGAUGGCCCGGAGGGAGCUGUGUGGUCCUGCUUGGCCAGAGUUGGCGAGCCGGCAGGAGCGCGGGAGCGUGAUCCGGCCCUGCAGAGCAUUGUGGGUUCAUCUUUUAAAUAUUUCCCGCAGCUGACUGGGCCACUCAAGAUGGUGUCUUUAUAUACAGUACGGACAUAUCAGGAAGCAGUGGGCCAGGGAUCUCUCAGUCCUUAUAGUUUCUCUUGCUCUUCUCAUGGUCAUGGUGGCUUAUCUUUUUAGAGUGUGCCCAGCUACCCCUAAAGCAGGGAAUCUUUUGCCUGUGUUGAGACUCUCAAGAACUUCGCUGUAUUUUACCGGUGAAAGAAGUCCCAGGAUCAGUCUCCAGAGGAGGGCUGUGUUACUCAACAUUCAACCACUAUAGCAAGCCCCAGAGGUGAUCAGUUUAUAAAGAGGAAAGGUUUCGCUGGCUCGUGGAUUCACAAAUUUCAGCCAUGUUCAGGUGGGAAGGCUGAAGGAUCACUGAAGGAGGAGAUGCUGAAGCCGUUCAAUUCACAGUGAGGGGACAAAAAGAAAGGAAGACAGGCUUAAGUGCUCACUUAUCCUCUUAAAUGGUGCACUUCCAGGGGCCCAAAGCCUCAUCGAAGGCCCCACUACUCAAAGGCUUCCCUGCCUCCCACCCGAGCCCUCCCAAAGACAGAAUAUUUAAUACUCAGAACUUUAUACCAAAACGUAAGAAGGAACUAGAGCUGACCAAGAGGAGCAGGAAGCACGGUUCACUGGAUCCACUGUGAAAUGGGCUAACGCGGAGAUAAGUCAGAAGGCCUCCUGGGAUCAACCAAGAAACAGGUAAAAGCAUCAGUGAGCAGCUGGACCUGUCACGUGACCACAGCACCCGGUGGAGACAAGUGGUGACAAUCAGUCACAUAGGGGCAGUGCCCCAAGCCCCUCCACAGGCAGUGAGGCAUCCCUAACAUCUUAGACCAAGCCAGUAGAAAGCAUCUGCUGUCAGACCCCAACCCACCGCAAAAUGUACGUAAGAACCUGUUCAGAAGGAGUAAAGUUGUGAGAAUUACUCCAUCAAGGGUUUUCUGAGAACUUCUGUCUUAUAGGAGCUGUAACACUUCCUGGGGAAGAGAAUUCUCUCUUCCCUUUGCUGCUGGAAGCUGUCCGGGCCAACCAACCACACUCACUGGUUCCUAGCCACACACCCUCCCCCAGGGCUGGCUGUUUUGCAGCAUCUCACAGCUUCCGACCUACUCCAGAGUUGCUUUGGCGGCUUGAGCUGACUGCAGUGCCUAGCUGAGUAACAGCAGCCACAGAAGAGAGCAGCAACUGCCUCAAUCCAACUUCCCUCUCCCUUCGGAGAGUGCAACUCCUUGACUGAUCCAGCUGGGCCAGAGCCUUCCCCCACCCCCAUCUCCG